AUGGGAUGGUUAAGAGAUUAUCUAUGGUUAAAUUCUUCACAACUUAUCAAUGGAUAUAACCCCUUUGGUAUGAAUAGUUUAUCCGUCUGGGCGUGGAUGUUCUUAUUUGGACAUCUUGUUUGGGCUACUGGAUUUAUGUUCUUAAUCUCAUGGCGCGGAUAUUGGCAGGAAUUGAUUGAAACUUUAGCAUGGGCUCAUGAACGCACACCUUUGGCGAAUUUGAUUCGAUGGAGAGAUAAACCUGUGGCUCUUUCCAUUGUCCAAGCAAGAUUGGUUGGAUUAGUCCACUUUUCGGUAGGUUAUAUAUUUACUUAUGCAGCUUUCUUGAUUGCCUCUACAUCCGGUAAAUUUGGUUAA
rnacentral:lncRNA from 1 species